rnacentral:lncRNA from 1 species
AUGAAACAAAGAGCAACUCAACUCAAUUCAGGGUUUCAACAGGGAAAUAGUGGCUACUCCUCUCAAAAAAUGGAAAGCAAAUGCAUAGAAAAUGAGAAUGCCUCUCAUAUCCUGCCUGCUCCUCAGAAGUCAGAUGCUGAACAUUUUGUGAUGUUAACUAAGAGACAGAAGAAUAAGAGAACAAAUGGCAACUCUUCUUGGUGACUCCUGGACAGCGUAGAACAUCUCAGUGGUCCUUUAUGCUGCUUAGUUGGAUAACUCACUUUCUACACAUUUCUAUGUUGAUAACUCUUACAUUUAUAUUUUCAUCCUGACUGCUUACCAGAGUUUUAGUCCCAUUGUGGGACUUUG